GACGAACGCUGGCGGCGUGCUUAACACAUGCAAGUCGAACGGAAAGGCCCUGCUUUUGUGGGGUGCUCGAGUGGCGAACGGGUGAGUAACACGUGAGUAACCUGCCCUUGACUUUGGGAUAACUUCAGGAAACUGGGGCUAAUACCGGAUAGGAGCUCCUGCUGCAUGGUGGGGGUUGGAAAGUUUCGGCGGUUGGGGAUGGACUCGCGGCUUAUCAGCUUGUUGGUGGGGUAGUGGCUUACCAAGGCUUUGACGGGUAGCCGGCCUGAGAGGGUGACCGGGGACAUUGGUACUGAGAUACGGCCCAGACUCCUACGGGAGGCAGCAGUGGCGAAUAUUGUACAAUGGGCGGAAGCCUGAUGCAGAAACGCCGGGUGCGGGAUGACGGCCUUCGGGUUGUAAACCGCUUUCGGCUGUGACGAAGCGGGAGUGACGGUAAUAGGUAAAGAAGCACCGGCUAACUACGUG
rnacentral:rRNA from 1 species